GCAGCCGCCGCGGUAAUACAUAGGUGGCAAGCGUUGUCCGGAAUUAUUGGGCGUAAAGCGCGCGCAGGCGGAUCAGUUAGUCUGUCUUAAAAGUUCGGGGCUUAACCCCGUGAUGGGAUGGAAACUGCUGAUCUAGAGUAUCGGAGAGGAAAGUGGAAUUCCUAGUGUAGCGGUGAAAUGCGUAGAUAUUAGGAAGAACACCAGUGGCGAAGGCGACUUUCUGGACGAAAACUAACGCUGAGGCGCGAAAGCCAGGGGAGCGAACGGGAUUAGAGACCCCUGUAGUCCCUGUCUCUUAUACA
rnacentral:rRNA from 1 species